CCUACGGGAGGCAGCAGUGAGGAAUAUUGGUCAAUGGACGAGAGUCUGAACCAGCCAAGUAGCGUGAAGGAUGACUGCCCUAUGGGUUGUAAACUUCUUUUAUAUGGGAAUAAAAUGUUCCACGUGUGGGAUUUUGUAUGUACCAUAUGAAUAAGGAUCGGCUAAAUCCGUGCCAGCAGCCGCGGUAAUACGGAGGAUCCGAGCGUUAUCCGGAUUUAUUGGGUUUAAAGGGAGCGUAGGUGGAUUGUUAAGUCAGUUGUGAAAGUUUGCGGCUCAACCGUAAAAUUGCAGUUGAAACUGGCAGUCUUGAGUACAGUAGAGGUGGGCGGAAUUCGUGGUGUAGCGGUGAAAUGCUUAGAUAUCACGAAGAACUCCGAUUGUGAAGGCAGUUCACUGGACUGCAACUGACACUGAGGCUCGAAAGUGUGGGUAUCAAACAGGAUUAGAUACCCGUGUAGUC
rnacentral:rRNA from 1 species